UACGUAGGCAGCGAGCGUUGUUCGGAGUUACUGGGCGUAAAGCGUGCGUAGGCGGUGUCUUAAGUUUGUUGUGAAAUCUCCCGGCUUAACCGGGAGGGUGCGGCGAAUACUGAGAUGCUGGAGUGCGGGAGAGGUAAGCGGAAUUCCUGGUGUAGCGGUGAAAUGCGUAGAUAUCAGGAGGAACACCUGCGGUGUAGACGGCUUACUGGACCGUAACUGACGCUGAGGCACGAAAGCGUGGGUAGCAAACCGG
rnacentral:rRNA from 1 species